rnacentral:snRNA from 1 species
GGGCUUGCUCCGGCAGCACAUAUACUAAAAUGGGAACGAUACAGAGAAAAUUAGCAUGGCCCUUGCACAGGCAAAUUUGUGAAGCGUUCUGUACUUUU